UGCCUUCUGAGCUGAUAUCAGU
rnacentral:miRNA from 8 species